GCUUAACACAUGCAAGUCGAACGAUGAAGUGGAGCUUGCUCCACGGAUUAGUGGCGAACGGGUGAGGAACACGUGAGAAACCUGCCUCGGAUUUUGGGAUAACAAAUGGAAACGUUUGCUAGUACCAAAUAACGUCGGAGAGUCACAUGACUUUCUGACGAAAGGAAUUCCGAUUCGAGAGGGUCUCGCGGCCUAUCAGCUUGUUGGCGGGGUAAUGGCCCACCAAGGCAACGACGGGUAGCUGGUCUGAGAGGAUGGUCAGCCACACUGGGACUGAGACACGGCCCAGACUCCUACGGGAGGCAGCAGUGGGGAAUCUUGCGCAAUGGGCGAAAGCCUGACGCAGCAACGCCGCGUGCGGGAAGAAGGCUUUCGGGCUGUAAACCGCUUUCAGCAGGAACGAAAAUGACGGUACCUGCAGAAGAAGGAGCGGCCAACUAUGUGCCAGCAGCCGCGGUGAUACAUAGGCUUCAAGCGUUGUCCGGAUUUAUUGGGCGUAAAGAGUUCGUAGGCGGUCGAGUAAGUCGGGUGUGAAAAUUCUGGGCUCAACCCAGAGACGCCACCCGAUACUGCUUAACUUGAGUUCGAUAGGGGAGUGGGGAAUUCCUAGUGUAGCGGUGAAAUGCGCAGAUAUUAGGAGGAACACCGGUGGCGAAGGCGCCACUCUGGAUCGACACUGACGCUGAGGAACGAAAGCAUGGGUAGCAAACAGGAUUAGAUACCCUGGUAGUCCAUGCGGUAAACGGUGGGCACUAGGUGUGGGUUUCUAUUAACGAAAUCCGCGCCGUCGCUAACGCA
rnacentral:rRNA from 1 species